AGCGAACGCUGGCGGUAGGCCUAACACAUGCAAGUCGAACGGCAGCACAGUAAGAUCUUGGUCUGAUGGGUGGCGGGAGGGGGGAGGGAGAGGAAAACAUCGGGAUCUACUUUUUCGGGGGGGAUAAGGUAGGUGAACCUAAGCUAAUACCGCAUACGAUCCUCGGGUGUAAGCAGGGGAUCGUUUGACCUUGUGGGAUUGGAUUAGCCGAUGUCGGGUUAGCUAGUUGGCGGGGUAAAGGCCCACCAAGGCGACGAUCCGUAGCUGGUCUGAGAGGAUGAUCAGCCACACUGGAACUGAGACACGGUCCAGACUCCUACGGGAGGCAGCAGUGGGGAAUAUUGGACAAUGGGCGCAAGCCUGAUCCAGCCAUACCGCGUGGGUGAAGAAGGCCUUCGGGUUGUAAAGCCCUUUUGUUGGGAAAGAAAAGCAGCAGGUUAAUACCCCGCUGUUCUGACGGUACCCAAAGAAUAAGCACCGGCUAACUUCGUG
rnacentral:rRNA from 1 species